rnacentral:lncRNA from 1 species
UGUAAUGCAUGGAUAGACAUCUAGAACUGGUAUAAAAAAAGUAGCAAGAAUGUGUGCCCACAGCUUAAUAUUUUACUAUGAAAUUCCAUCUACACACUUUGUGUAUAUGUAAGUAAUUACUCAGCUAAGUCAAGUUUGAAUGCUCUAGCCAAUUCCUGCUAAAACAGAUUGCACCUCACUAUUGGAGGGGUGUUAGCAGAAUUUUGUUGCUUACCAUAUUAAUUUCUUCAAACAAAUGACUACUAACUCAUUUUUGCAGUCACAAAAAGCCUUCCAGAGGCUUAUAUACAUGCUACUUUCAACAGGCAAACUGAGGUGGAGAAAAACUUUGAAUAUAUGAAAGAAGACACUUCUAAGAGUGAUGAUGAACAUGACUUGAAAAUAGCAGGCCUUUCCUCAACACAUGGCAGAGCAAACAUGUUUUAGGGGAAACUACUGAUAGACGUGUUAGGUUGAAGAUGCAAGGUGUAUCACUUCACCUCCUUGGGACUGGAUGCAAAAGGGAAAUCCUCAGGAGUGCCCCAUGAGCCUACUGUGUGGCUAUAUGAUACCACCUUUGGGAUUUGGAUAUUUGGAAACAGCAAUGGCUGGAGGCCCUGAAUUGCUGAAUUAG